rnacentral:lncRNA from 10 species
CUACUACCACCAACAUCUGCACCUGCGGCGGCUCUGCCCGGGCCCAGCCCUGGGCUUCAAGACUCACCGCAGCGGCCCUCCUACUAGACGCAUAGCGUCCACGGGGCUGGCGGGCGGGGGGGUGGUGACCUCCACACAUACACUGCUUCUGUUCACUCUGGACUGCUGGCGAUGGCCUGGUACAGGCCCAACAAUCCAGUGCCAUCCAUUUUCAGGGGAACCCUGACUAAUACAGGGAUCAUUCAAUAAAAAGACUCCAACUCUUAGAAAUCAAUUUAGUCACUAUUUAUUAUAUUGACAUAUUUACAAAAUAAUACAAAGUGAAAUACCACUCUAAUUCACCGUAUUACACGAGGGCUGCAUACAGGCAAGACAAAGUAUAUGGAAAACAUUUACUUCUGUCUUUGGUAUUAGAACUCUACACAAAUCUGCAGCAUUUAAAUUUUCCAAAACAAAGUAUUAAACGUGGACAAAGAUGUAAUUGGUAAUGUCACAAAAAGGGGCUCCAAUAUCCUCUGCUAGGAAACCCCCAGGCCCAUGAAAUGCAACAGGAAGACUAAACACCAUUUAUAAGGAGAGGGUCUAUUGACUAAAAUAAACAAUACAUGCUACAAUACCAUCCACAGGAGUGUUUCUGCUUGUGUGAGGCUGCUCCCUCCAUAACAAAGUUCGGCUGACGGCAACAGACAAAACAUUCCCGAGACAGAGUCGCAGAUAAGACUUUACAGGAAAGAAUCCAUUCCAAGAGUACACUUUGAGGUGUAACUUUAUUGUACAGAACAUUUUAUAAAAUACAUUUUUGUGAUCAUUUACACAUAUACAAAGACUUAAAUGGUUUUAGCAAAUAAUAAUUUUUCUAAAACACAAUCACAGUUUACAUAAUUCUGAGGUAAAGGUCUUGAAUCUAUCCUAGAUGAAAAGUCCUAGCCCAUGAGGGUCUCUAACAGGGGGAUGUGUCCACUGAACCUUGAGUUCUGGCACCCAGACGGAUUGAUGAGAGGGCAGGCUACACCUGCUUCAUUUCAGAGAUGAUUCAAAAUUUCAGAACUUAAUGCUCCUGGUUCAGUUCUACUAAGUUAAUGCUUCUUUUUUUUCCCAACAUGUAACUCUCUCAGUCUUGUCAGAACACAACUUCUGCUAUGGAGGAAAUAUUUCCAUCAGGAAAGGGCCAAGUUAGUGUCUUAACUUGACUGCCUUGAAUGGGGACUCUGGACCCCAGGAAGAAUGUAUUUAGGCUCCUCACAAAAAAGAGUGAUGGCUGGGCAAAACAAAUGUACUGCAAGACCCAUCUUCCCUCCAGUUAAUACACUCCCAGGAUGGGCUGCAGAGGGGGAGACUCUGAGAGAAGCUGGAGGCCCACAAAAGUCCACUGACCCUCUUUCUGUCCCAGAAAUGAAUAAAGGACCCAGUUGUGCUUUCCUUCCAAAAUCCUCAACAAAGUUGUUUGUGCUCCAAGAAAAUGUGGGAAUAAAAAAAUCAUGUCCCAGGUCAUCUUUGUGUGUGUGCGGGGGAGGUGGAUGGGAGGAAAAGGCAUGUAUUAAUAGAUACUGCUGCUAUAAAAUGACAUAAAUUAUAGCCCUUGAUCUGUUUCUGUAAACAAUGCCAGCUUCUUCAGGUUAUUGGCAACUACCCUUAAUAUACCUAGCCCAGAUCCUUUCAUAAAGUCAAGUGCUAUAUUUCCAAAAUAAUCCUAUGAAAUCAUGAAGGUUGUGAAGGUUUAAUAUGAAGACACCCUCUCUUUUGUGUGCUUUUUUCACCUUUUAUAAAGAAGUUUGCAAAUAUAAUCAGGACACCAAAUAAGUAAUUAAAACCCUUCAGGGAUAGCUCACUUAUGAUGCAAACCUGAGCACUGGCCUCAUAUUUUAUAAUAUCAUGAGUAACAUCUGAGGGUAAAAGUGUUUGCCGGGCAAUGAGUCACCUUGUUGGACAAUUUAAGACAAGUAAGGCUGGAUCUUUCCAGUAAGCUGCUCAAAUGGCAGAACUCCAAUUUUUCGUCAUGCUGGGAAAAGGAAAAUUACACUUCUGCUUCUUUGUACCAUCAAAUAAUCUGGUGAAUGGCAUGUGAGAAUAAAGCAAAAGUGUAUUAAGAUUUACUGAUGACUGGCAUUCAUGGUAUCUGACCAGAAGAAGUAAAGGGAAGCACGAACCAAUGUGUUUGCAGGGCUCUUCUGGGAAGAACAGCUCUUGGUUUUGCCCUGGUCCCUGACAAUGACAGACUGGCAGGCUGUUUCUUGCACAGCUCUAGGCAAGCCAUUAAUCUGUCAGUACCAGCAUCUUUAGAAAUCUCAGCAUUAAGACUUAGGAGGGGCUAAGGAGGGAGGAUGUUGAACAGCCAGAAAUGCAGCUUUUUAAACACUUCAGUUAAUUCACGAUGCUGUGCAGGCUUCUAUUUAUCCCUUCUCUGAAAUUUUUGGUGCAGGGUGCAACACGGGAUUUGAAUUUAUUCAUCCUCUUCCACAUAUGUGGAUGGAAACCAGCCCACCUAAAAAAGAAAAGCAACCAACACAGCAACAUGACUUUGUAUCUGACACUUCAAAGGAUUCUACAAACAGAGUAUUUUGUUUUCAUAACACCCCAAUUAAACUGGGGUUUUAUGUCC